rnacentral:lncRNA from 1 species
GAGAGGGAUGCAGGAAAAGCUGAGGGGGAGGGUUGACAUUUUAGAUGGAGUGGCCACAGAGAGCCUCACUGAAGAGGUGGCAUUGGAGUAAAGGCCUGAAGGAAGUGAGGGAGCCAGGCACACAUGUGUCAGGGUGAAGAAAAAGGAAGCAAAAGGAAGAGCCAGUGUAAAGGCCCUGAGGCCUGGCUGCUGAAGGAACAACUAGGAGACUCGUGUGGCUGAGAGAGUGGAGAGGAUCAGGCAAAGGAAACUAUGUGCGCAAGGGCCUGGAGGCUGGGAGCAGAGGCCGAAGCUUCCACGGCUUCUGUGUGGAGCACGUUUGGGGAAGACCCUCCAUCCCUCCUGUGUGCACCCCGUCCAGCCAGACCAGCAGCGCAGGCCCCCCGCAGCCAUCCUGGGAGCUCCACCGCACUGUGGGUCGUUGGGGCCCAAUCUCUGCCCAUGACGGCCUCAGUCUUCCAGCUGCACUUUGACGCCUGGCCCGAAGGCAGAGCUCAGUGAGCUGGUGCUGCUGGGAAGCCGACUGACACAGGGUGUGGACGCCCUGCGCACAGUGGGUGCUCCCGGUAAUGGCGCAGUGGCUCAAGAUGCCAGGGUCCCCUUGCUCCCAGGGCUGCCCCUCUCCCCACUCAUUCUGGCCCCUCCUGUGGGAGCUGGGGUGGGGCCUUGACUGAGGACAUGCCCACUUUCUCCAGAGCAAAGGAUUCGCCAAAACAGAGGUGACCAAAUGGAAAGUUAUUUACUGCGCGGUGUCAGGAGUCAGGCCUGGGGCAAGACCUUUGAGGAGAAAGAUUCCUGCCUCCGGAAUCAGGCCUGGCGGAGCUGGUGUCCCCAGCCAGGGUGGCAGGGUCCUCCCUGGGAGCGCCUUCUCUCCCUCAUCUGCAGGUGAGCAGCCUGAGGCCAGAGGGCGGUGGGAACCUGCACCGCUCGGCCCUUGUCCUCGCCGGCGAAGGAUGGAGGACUGGGAUCCAUGCAGAACACAGAGAGACCUCCAACACGCUUCCACGCGAUGCUUGGAGUCCAGGGUAUGCAAACGCAGUGGCAGGACAUCCUUUCCCACCUGCCAGGUAAAAAGCAAGAGUGCUGACAGCACGCUGUGCUGGCUGUGGGACAAGGGUCCUCUGCAUCCUCGCCACAGUGAGGCCCCUGGGCACCACUGCUGCCACGCAGUGUGUCGACAUGAAUCACACUCAAAAUUCUGCAGGAGCUUUGGUCCAGUCCUUUUACUUCCAGGAAUUUAUCUUUUUUUUUUUUUGAGGAAGAUUAGCCCUGAGCUAACAUCUGCCACCAAUCCUCCUCUUUUUGCUGAGGAAGACUGGCCCUGAGCUAACAUCUGUGCCCAUCUUCCUCCACUUUAUAUGUGGGACACCUACCAUGGCAUGGCGUGCCAAGCAGUGCCAUGUCCA